UACGUAGGGUGCGAGCGUUGUCCGGAAUUAUUGGGCGUAAAGAGCUCGUAGGCGGCCUGUCGCGUCGGCUGUGAAAACCCGGGGCUCAACCCCGGGCCUGCGGUCGAUACGGGCAGGCUAGAGUUCGGUAGGGGAGACUGGAAUUCCUGGUGUAGCGGUGAAAUGCGCAGAUAUCAGGAGGAACACCGGUGGCGAAGGCGGGUCUCUGGGCCGAUACUGACGCUGAGGAGCGAAAGCGUGGGGAGCGAACAGG
rnacentral:rRNA from 1 species